rnacentral:rRNA from 1 species
GGGAUGGCGCAGCUACACAUGCAGUCGAACGGUAGCACAGAGAGCUUGCUCCUCGGGUGACGAGUGGCGGACGGGUGAGUAAUGUCUGGGAAACUGCCUGAUGGAGGGGGAUAACUACUGGAAACGGUAGCUAAUACCGCAUAACGUCGCAAGACCAAAGAGGGGGACCUUCGGGCCUCUUGCCAUCAGAUGUGCCCAGAUGGGAUUAGCUAGUAGGUGGGGUAACGGCUCACCUAGGCGACGAUCCCUAGCUGGUCUGAGAGGAUGACCAGCCACACUGGAACUGAGACACGGUCCAGACUCCUACGGGAGGCAGCAGUGGGGAAUAUUGCACAAUGGGCGCAAGCCUGAUGCAGCCAUGCCGCGUGUAUGAAGAAGGCCUUCGGGUUGUAAAGUACUUUCAGCGGGGAGGAAGGUGUUGUGGUUAAUAACCGCAGCAAUUGACGUUACCCGCAGAAGAAGCACCGGCUAACUCCGUGCCAGCAGCCGCGGUAAUACGGAGGGUGCAAGCGUUAAUCGGAAUUACUGGGCGUAAAGCGCACGCAGGCGGUCUGUCAAGUCGGAUGUGAAAUCCCCGGGCUCAACCUGGGAACUGCAUUCGAAACUGGCACGCUGGAGUCUUGUAAAGGGGGGUAGAAUUCCCCGUGUGGCGCUGACAUGCGUACAGAUCUGGAGAAGGACCGGAGGCCAAGGCGGCCCC